AACGAACGCUGGCGGCAUGCCUAACACAUGCAAGUCGAACGAGACCUUCGGGUCUAGUGGCGCACGGGUGCGUAACGCGUGGGAACCUGCCCUUAGGUUCGGAAUAACUCCCCGAAAGGGGUGCUAAUACCGGAUAAUGUCUUCGGACCAAAGAUUUAUCGCCUUUGGAUGGGCCCGCGUUGGAUUAGCUAGUUGGUAGGGUAAAAGCCUACCAAGGCGACGAUCCAUAGCUGGUCUGAGAGGAUGAUCAGCCACACUGGGACUGAGACACGGCCCAGACUCCUACGGGAGGCAGGAGGGGGGAAUAUUGGAAAAGGGGCGAAAGCCUGAUCCAGCAAAGCCGGGUGGGGGAUGAAGGCCUUAGGGUUGUAAAGCUCUUUUACCCGGGAUGAUAAUGACAGUACCGGGAGAAAAAGCCCCGGCUAACUCCGU
rnacentral:rRNA from 1 species